AUGACAGCAGUUAAACAAGAAGAAGCAGACACAACCAGUGAUAUCAGCGGUAGCCAAAUUACCCAUGCCGAACCACUGUGUCGCAAGCACAAUAAGCCAUUCGAGUAUAUUCAUCGCCCACGCAAAGCAGGUUCAAUCCAAAAGUUCAAAGGCAAGAAAAUCCAACUAAAGCCUGGAAAGUACAUUCUCCGUGACUGCGAAAGAUCAUCCGCAGCACCACCAGAGACAUUUGCAACAAACGACAAAAGAAUGACGGGACUACCGCUGUCACAACCGCUUUAUCAAGGGUGUUUGACAAAAGAGCCACCAUUGGCUGGAGAACUUCUUCCCUCAGGCACACAUGAGCAAAGGGCAAGCAUAUGCUUUCGCCUUCAAAUGCACUUCUAA
rnacentral:rRNA from 1 species